GACGAACCGAGCGAACGUUGUUCGGAAUCACUGGGCGUAAAGGGUGCGUAGGCGGGAUCUUAAGUCAGAGGUGAAAGCCUGGAGCUCAACUCCAGAACUGCCUUUGAUACUGGGAUUCUUGAGUUCGGAAGAGGUAAGUGGAACUGCGAGUGUAGAGGUGAAAUUCGUAGAUAUUCGCAAGAACACCAGUGGCGAAGGCGGCUUACUGGUCCGAUACUGACGCUGAGGCACGAAAGCGUGGGGAGCAAACAGG
rnacentral:rRNA from 1 species